rnacentral:rRNA from 1 species
AAUUUUGGACAAUGGGGGCAACCCUGAUCCAGCCAUCCCGCGUGUGCGAUGAAGGCCUNCGGGUUNUNAAGCACUUUUGGCAGGGNCGUAAAGCCGCGGAUUAAUACGCUGCGGUUCUGACGGUAACUGCAGAAUAAGCUUCUGCUAACUACGUGCUCGCAGCCGCGGUAAUACGUAGGGUGAAAGCGUUAAUCGGAAUUACUGGGCGUAAAGCGUGCGCAGGCGGUUCGGCAAGAAGGAUGUGAAAUCCCGGGGCUUAACCUCGGAACUGCAUUCUUAACUGCCGGGCUAGAGUAUGUCAGAGGGGGGUAGAAUUCCGCGUGUAGCAGUGAAAUGCGUAGAGAUGCGGAGGAAUACCGAUGGCGAAGGCAGCCCCCUGGGAUAAUACUGACGCUCAUGCACGAAAGCGUGGGGAGCAAACA